GGACCGGAGUCUGCAACUCGACUCCAUGAAGUCGUAAUCGCUAGUAAGCGUGGAUCAGAAUGCCACGGUGAAUACGUUCCCGGGCCUUGCACACACCGCCCGUCACUCCUUGGCAGUGGGUUGCAAAUGAAGUAUGUAGGUUCCCCUUCGGGAGGGCACUUACAUAUUUGUGGUUCAUGACUGGGGUGAUGGCGUAACAAGGUAACGGUAGGGGAACCUGCGGUUGGAUGACCUCCUUA
rnacentral:rRNA from 1 species